CGAUUAAUUCGUAUAAAAUUCUAAAUAGAAUAAUGAUAAUGACAAUUUUCUAUUUAUAAGUCUUGACCAAAUUACGUGCCAGCAGUCGCGGUAAUACGUAAAAGACUAGUGUUAGUCAUCUUUAUUAGGUUUAAAGGGUACCUAGACGGUAAAUUAAACUCUAAAUGAGUACUUUUUUACUAGAGUUUUAUGUGAGAAGGAAGAACUUUUGGAGUAGGGAUAAAAUACUUUGAUACCAAAAGGACUGAUAACGGCGAAGGCAUCCUUCUAUGUAAAAACUGACGUUGAGGGACGAAGGCCUGGGUAGCAAGAAGGAUUAGAUACCCUAGUAGUCCAGGCAGAAAAUGAUGAAUGUCAUAGGCUAGAUAAAAUUUAGUCUAUAAAUGAAAGUGUAAGCAUUCCACCUCAAGAGUACUAUGGCAACAUAUAAACUGAAAUCAUUAGACCGUUUCU
rnacentral:rRNA from 1 species